UUUCCAGACUCCUACGGGAGGCAGCAGUGGGGAAUAUUGGGCAAUGGGCGCAAGCCUGACCCAGCAACGCCGCGUGAAGGAAGAAGGCUUUCGGGUUGUAAACUUCUUUUAAGAGGGAAGAGAAGAAGACGGUACCUCUUGAAUAAGCCACGGCUAACUACGUGCCAGCAGCCGCGGUAAUACGGAGGGUGCGAGCGUUAAUCGGAAUUACUGGGCGUAAAGCGCUCGUAGGCGGUAUGUCAAGUCAAGGGUGAAAUCCCCGCGCUCAACGUGGGAACUGCCUUUGAAACUGGCAAACUGGAGUGUGUGAGAGGAUAGUGGAAUUCCAGGUGUAGGAGUGAAAUCCGUAGAUAUCUGGAGGAACAUCAGUGGCGAAGGCGACUAUCUGGCACAUAACUGACGCUGAGGAGCGAAAGCGUGGGUAGCAAACAGGAUUAGAUACCCCCGUAGC
rnacentral:rRNA from 1 species